ACAAGGGGUGACCGGUUGAAUAAUAACCAGUCCCGUUGCUCACCGUCACUCUGCAUCGGGGAACUGAUUAUAAAAUUAUAAAACUGAUUAUAAAAUCACACUUCGGGGCCGUGUCCGGGAUCGCUGCAGAUCCAGGGUCACUGCCGAGGGAUUUGUCCAUUUAACAUCAUUAUAUCGGCCAGGCUGCCGAAUGCACCGUCCUCAGCAAAGGGGGCAAAAGGAUUCUCUCCCGGGACCAUCCCCCCCACCCCGGGACACCGGUGUCCCAGACUGAGCCCCGGACCCCGGGCUCUUCCUGUCCGGGUAAUUCCCCGGGGAGUCACGUGGGGAGUCUCCUCCACGCACUUCCGGCGGAUGCUGCCCCGCCGGACAACAGGCGGAAACACGUCACUGCGGGACCGCUGCGAGCGACGCAGACAGCGCGAGGCCCGAGCCGGUUCCGUUAAAACCGUUGGGAAUCAGCCCCGGCGCGCGGCCGUUAAAGAAAAGUGUUCCUGACGUGAGACAGUCGGAAAGGGCAGGUGUGAAGGGGAGAAGUCAAACAGUGAGGAAGAUUUGAGAAUCGGGAAAUGUCGAUGGGAGAUGGAGGAAGAGACAUCACCUAAGUUUGCACUUUAUCCCGUUGUGAUGCGGUUUGAACGGCAUCGUCUGGAUGAAAGGUCAAACUAUUGAUGUUUGUGGUCAUAAGAUAUCAGCUUUGUGCGUGAUCUUUCACAUCCAAUCAAUCGCAGAGUAUUUCGAGGAAGUUACCAGGAACGUUGAUGAAGGCAAGGUUGUGGAUAUUGUCUACAUGGACUUCAGCACGGUAUUUGACAAGGUCCCGUAUAGGAGGUUGGUCUAGAAGAUUCAGUUGCUUAGCAUUCAAGCUGCGUGGAUCAGCCAUUGCUCUGAGAUGGAACUUUUCACACGGACUGAGAAAAGCACAACACCAUAGAUGCGUCCUCUUUUGUAAAAUGCAUCCAUGAAUAUUUUAGGAUUAAGACAGACAAGAGAAAAAAAACAUGCUAUUGAUUUUAAUUACUAAUUAAAGGAUAGGAUAAAAAUGUAGUACAACAAAGAAAAACUCAGGUUUCAUAAACGUUUAUACGACAGUGUUUAAUUCCAUCUGCGCUGCAACAAAGGCUCCGUUCGUGGGAGCAUUGUGGUUACGCAGACGCGCAGUUUAGAGGGAACAGUGACGGGUCUCUCUCUCCAGAUAUUCCCCACCUUAUAACACUGCCUUGCCAGCGACAACCUGUUGUUACAAACAUGCAGAUCAUCAACAAUCAGGCCCAGAUCUCAUCCGUGUGCAUAUUCGAGAUGGGUGAGGGUUUGCUUAAAUGGGAAAUGUUUUAAAUGGCCUCUUUGUUAGGUACAACUCUAUUCCAGCUCAUUAAUACGAAUCUGUUAAUCAUCUGCUUGCAACUCAAAGCACAAGCACAUGCAGAUAUGGUCAACGGGUUCAGUUGUUAUUCAGGCCAAACAUCUGAAUAGGAAAUAAAUGUGAGGUAAGUGACGUUGACCGUGGAAUGAUCGUUGGUGCCAGACCGGGUGGUAUGAGGGUUACGGAAACUGAUCAGCAGCUUGGAUUCUCAAGUAUAAAUCUCUCGGUUUACUGAGAAUGGUCCGGAAUCAAACCAAAGGAAAAUCCAGUGAACAGCGGUUCUAAAGGCCCCGUUAAUGAGAGAACUCAGUGAGAUUGGGCAGACUGAUUAAAUCCGACAGGAAAGCGGCAAGAACUCAAAUAACCACGCACUCCAACAGCGGAGAGCAAGAGAGCGUCACUGAGCACCGAACAUAGAGACCCAACACUGUCUCCUCCCGUACUUCAAAAUACCCUAUACUCCGUGCAGAUGGACUUUAAACACCCUCCACAUGUCAGAUGUGGACUUGCCAGUGUUACGAAGGAUGAACAGCUCUGAUGGGCAGAAGGGUGCAGAGUUGCCCAUCUCCCCCCCCCCGCCUUUUGGAGAAUCACAAACCGUUACUGUUGCUAUGCUGUUAAUGAGAGAGAGAGAUGUAAGAGAAAACAUGCUGGAAUUGGAACAUCUGCUACAGAUAAGAGACAGAGAUAAAGCAGGGGAGUGAGACUUGUUGAUCCACCAUAUUCUGACUUCUGAAAGUCGUAUGGCUUCUGAGAGGGUUGUUCACCUUGUACCAUUCUGUUCAUUAAAAUUCCUCAGUGGACAGCUGGAGUGGGCUGGUUUGAUGGACACAGUCAUUCAAAAUUGAUGUACAACUGAAACCCCCUGAGAAGGGAUAAAAG